AGACCGAGGGGCGGAUGCAGCCUACCUCCUGGGCAGGGAGCUGCGGUCUGAGGCCCCUGCCCAGCUGGAAACCACAGGGAGGGGAAGGGAGGGGAGGGGAGGAGAGGAGAGGAGAGGAACCGUCAUGGGGCCUUGGAGUCGAGUCAGGGUUGCCAAAUGCCAGAUGCUGGUCACCUGCUUCUUUAUCUUGCUGCUGGGCCUCUCUGAGGCCACCAUAGUGACUCUUACCUACUUCGGGGCCCACUUUGCUGUCAUCCGCCAAGCGUCCCUGGAGAAGAACCCAUCCCAGGCUAUGCACCAAUGGGCCUUCUCUGCGGGGUUGAGCCUGGUGGGCCUCCUGACUCUGGGAGCUGUGCUGAGCGCUGCAGCCACCGUGAGGGAGGCCCAGGGCCUCAUGGCGGGGGGCUUCCUGUGCUUCUCCCUGGCGUUCUGCGCACAGGUGCAGGUGGUGUUCUGGAGACUCCACAGCCCCACCCAGGUGGAGGAUGCCAUGCUGGACACCUACGACCUGGUAUAUGAGCAGGCGAUGAAAGGCACAUCCCACGUCUGGCGGCAGGAGCUGGCGGCCAUCCAGGACGUGUUUCUGUGCUGUGGGAAGAGGUCUCCUUUCAGCCGUCUGGGGAACACAGAGGCUGACCUGUGUCAGGGAGAGGAGACGGCAAGAGAGGUGAGGGGGGGACCUGGAUGCUGGCCAGGCAAGACCCUCGGGGGCUGGACACCCUGGGGCCCA
rnacentral:sRNA from 1 species